rnacentral:rRNA from 1 species
AUUGAACGCUGGCGGAAUGCUUUACACAUGCAAGUCGAACGGCAGCACGGACUUCGGUCUGGUGGCGAGUGGCGAACGGGUGAGUAAUGUAUCGGAACGUGCCCAGUCGUGGGGGAUAACGUAGUGAAAAUUACGCUAAUACCGCAUACGAUCUAUGGAUGAAAGCGGGGGAUCGCAAGACCUCGCGCGAUUGGAGCAGCCAAUAUCAGAUUAGGUAGUUGGUGGGGUAAAGGCCCACCAAGCCAACGAUCUGUAGCUGGUCUGAGAGGACGACCAGCCACACUGGAACUGAGACACGGUCCAGACUCCUACGGGAGGCAGCAGUGGGAAUUUUGGACAAUGGGCGAAAGCCUGAUCCAGCCAUUCCGCGUGCAGGAUGAAGGCCCUCGGGUUGUAAACUGCUUUUGUACAGAACGAAAAGGUUUCUACUAAUACUAGGAGCUCAUGACGGUACUGUAAGAAUAAGCACCGGCUAACUACGUGCCAGCCGCCGCGGUAA